UGGUGCGAUCAUAUCGACGUUAAUGCACUGGAUCCCAUCAGAACUCCACAGUAAAGCACGCUUGGGCUACAGUAGUACUGGGAUGGGUGGCUUAUCGGGAAGUCCAGUGUUGCACCCU
rnacentral:rRNA from 1 species